rfam:Phialocephala subalpina strain TAMH 11012 genome assembly, contig: PAC_scaffold_054
ACAUACGACCAUAGAAAACGGAAAGUUGGGCAUCCCGUCCGCUCUGCCAUACACAAGCCGUUUAUCGGUGGAUUAGUAGUUGGGUGGGUGACCACCAGCGAAUACCUACUGUUGUAUGUC